AACGAACGCUGGCGGCAUGCCUAACACAUGCAAGUCGAACGAGACCUUCGGGUCUAGUGGCGCACGGGUGCGUAACGCGUGGGAACCUGCCCUUAGGUUCGGAAUAACUCCCCGAAAGGGGUGCUAAUACCGGAUAAUGUCUUCGGACCAAAGAUUUAUCGCCUUUGGAUGGGCCCGCGUUGGAUUAGCUAGUUGGUAGGGUAAAAGCCUACCAAGGCGACGAUCCAUAGCUGGUCUGAGAGGAUGAUCAGCCACACUGGGACUGAGACACGGCCAAGACUCCUACGGGAGGCAGCAGUGGGGAAUAUUGGACAGUGGGCGAAAGCCUGAUCCAGCAAUGCCGCGUGAGUGAUGAAGGCCUUAGGGUUGUAAAGCUCUUUUACCCGGGAUGAUAAUGACAGUACCGGGAGAAUAAGCUCCGGCUAACUCCGUG
rnacentral:rRNA from 1 species